rnacentral:rRNA from 1 species
UAACACAUGCAAGUCGAGCGGCAGCACGGGUACUUGUACCUGGUGGCGAGCGGCGGACGGGUGAGUAAUGCCUAGGAAUCUGCCUGGUAGUGGGGGAUAACGCUCGGAAACGGACGCUAAUACCGCAUACGUCCUACGGGAGAAAGCAGGGGACCUUCGGGCCUUGCGCUAUCAGAUGAGCCUAGGUCGGAUUAGCUAGUUGGUGAGGUAAUGGCUCACCAAGGCGACGAUCCGUAACUGGUCUGAGAGGAUGAUCAGUCACACUGGAACUGAGACACGGUCCAGACUCCUACGGGAGGCAGCAGUGGGGAAUAUUGGACAAUGGGCGAAAGCCUGAUCCAGCCAUGCCGCGUGUGUGAAGAAGGUCUUCGGAUUGUAAAGCACUUUAAGUUGGGAGGAAGGGCAGUUACCUAAUACGUAUUCUGUUUUGACGUUACCG